UACGUAGGGUGCAAGCGUUGUCCGGAAUCAUUGGGCGUAAAGAGCGUGUAGGCGGCCCGGUAAGUCCGCUGUAAAAGUCAAAGGCUCAACCUUUGAAUGUCAGUGGAUACUGCCGGGCUAGAGUCCGGAAGAGGCGAGUGGAACUCCUGGUGUAGCGGUGGAAUGCGCAGAUAUCAGGAAGAACACCAACGGCGAAGGCAGCUCGCUAGGACGGUACUGACGCUGAGACGCGAAAGCGUGGGGAGCGAACAGG
rnacentral:rRNA from 1 species